rnacentral:rRNA from 1 species
GACGAACGCUGGCGGCGUGCUUAACACAUGCAAGUCGAGCGGUAAGGCCCUUUCGGGGGUACACGAGCGGCGAACGGGUGAGUAACACGUGGGUGACCUGCCCUCAGCUCUGGGAUAAGCCUGGGAAACCGGGUCUAAUACUGGAUAUGACUCCAUGACGCAUGGUUGUGGGGUGGAAAGCCUUGUGCGGCUGAGGAUGGGCCCGCGGCCUAUCAGCUUGUUGGUGGGGUGANGGCCUACCAAGGCGACGACGGGUAGCCGGCCUGAGAGGGCGACCGGCCACACUGGGACUGAGACACGGCCCAGACUCCUACGGGAGGCAGGCAGUGGGGAAUCUUGCG